ACUGUGGUCUGCAACCCGACCACACGAAGCUGGAAUCGCUAGUAAUCGUGAAUCAGAAUGUCACGGUGAAUACGUUCCCGGGUCUUGUACACACCGCCCGUCACACCAUGGGAGUUGGAAAUGCCCGAAGUCAGUGGCCCAACCGGAAGGGGGGAGCUGCCGAAGGCAGGUUCGAUGACUGGGGUGAAGUCGUAACAAGGUAGC
rnacentral:rRNA from 1 species